AUCAAUAAGAUGAAUAUUGCAAUUUUUUUAAGGCACUCCGAUGAAUGAAAAACUAAAAUACAAUAUGCAGGAAACAAAAGUGAAGAAUUGUUGUUGCUAAAACAAUAACUUAUUUGUGGUUGAUUUCGUCAAUUGCAGGUUUCAUAACGUAUCUGUUAUGCAUAACAACGAUGGAUAGAAUUUGAGAGGAUAUCCAAUUUGAUAGAGAAAUUGGAGCUGUGAUUUGUGUGGAAGAUAAGAAGGAUUGACAUGUUUCUGAAAGUUUGAAUGAGGAAGAAGUCCAGCCACCAAAAUAUACAAGAUCACUUGAAAUACUAAAGAAAGGCAGGAUUAAGAGAUCUAGCGACACUUUAUCGUCAAGCACAAAUUGUUGUGGAUGUUGCAAACAAGCGGAUCACAA